rnacentral:rRNA from 1 species
CAGCAGCCACGGUAAUACGUAGGUGGCAAGCGUUGUCCGGAAUUAUUGGGCGUAAAGGGCUCGCAGGCGGUUUCUUAAGUCUGAUGUGAAAGCCCCCGGCUCAACCGGGGAGGGUCAUUGGAAACUGGGAAACUUGAGUGCAGAAGAGGAGAGUGGAAUUCCACGUGUAGCGGUGAAAUGCGUAGAGAUGUGGAGGAACACCAGUGGCGAAGGCGACUCUCUGGUCUGCAACUGACGCUGAGGAGCGAAAGCGUGGGGAGCGAACAGGAUUAGAGACCCCUGUAGUCCCUGUCUCUUAUAC